rnacentral:rRNA from 1 species
UACGAGGGGGGCGAGCGUUGUUCGGAAUUAUUGGGCGUAAAGGGCUCGUAGGCGGUUUGUCACGUCGAAAGUGAAAACUCAGGGCUUAACCCUGAGCCUGCUUCCGAUACGGGCAGACUAGAGGUAUGCAGGGGAGAAUGGAAUUCCUGGUGUAGCGGUGAAAUGCGCAGAUAUCAGGAGGAACACCGGUGGCGAAGGCGGUUCUCUGGGCAUUACCUGACGCUGAGGAGCGAAAGCGUGGGGGAUCAAACAGG